rnacentral:rRNA from 1 species
CAAUAGCGUAUAUUAAAGUUGUUGCAGUUAAAAAGCUCGUAGUUGAAUUUCGGGUGCUCGUAGUCGGUCCUUCAUUGGGCUGGCGCGUGUGCUCUCCCCGCCUUUGGCGGCCUUUACUGUGAAAAAAUUAGAGUGUUCAAAGCAGGCAAUCGCUUGAAUACAUUAGCAUGGAAUAAUAAGAUAGGAUCUUGUCUAUUUUGUUGGUUGCGGACAAAGAUAAUGAUUAAUAGGGAUAGUUGGGGGUGUCCGUAUUGAGCUGUCAGAGGUGAAAUUCUUGGAUUUGCUCAAGACGAACUGCUGCGAAAGCGUUCACCAAGGAUGUUUUCAUUA